rnacentral:rRNA from 1 species
UGGGCAACCUGCCUCUAGCUCUGGGAUAACUCCGGGAAACCGGGGCUAAUACCGGAUAUGACAUCGAGCGGCAUCUAUCGAGGUGGAAAGUUUUUCGGCUAGAGAUGGGCCCGCGGCCUAUCAGCUUGUCGGUGAGGUAACGGCCCACCAAGGCGACGACGGGUAGCCGGCCUGAGAGGGCGACCGGCCACACUGGGACUGAGACACGGCCCAGACUCCUACGGGAGGCA